AUGAAUUACAUAUUAUCUUUGAGUUAUUUGGACCUUCCCCAUCACCUAAGAUAUUGCCUAUUGUAUUUGACUAUGUUUCCUGAAGAUUAUCGGGUUGAAAUGGGGCACUUAGUACACAGCUGGAUUUCUGAGGGUUUGAUUCGUGGUGAAUAUCAGGAAGAUCUUGUGGAAUUAGGAUAUGCAUAUUUAGUAGAGCUUACAAACAGAAGUUUAAUAGAAUCAGUCGGCAUGCAGUAUGAUGGUAAGGCACGGUUCUACCGAGUCCACAGGGUCAUCCUUGAUUUCCUCGUGUCUAGGUCCGCUGAAGAGAAUUUCUGUACCUUGUCAGAUAAUCCCUCAAAGCCAGAUCGAAGAGUUCAUCGGCUCUCUCUGUUUGGAAAUGAAAAUCCAUCAUGCGUCGCACAAUUAGAUUUAUCGCAUGCUCGAUCUCUUGGUGUUUUUGGGCAUUCUGGGCAAUUGCCUUCCUUUGUGAAGUCACAUGCUCUGCGUGUGCUCGACCUACAAGAUUGCCCGGAGUUGGGAAAUCAUCAUGUCAAAGAUAUUGAAAGACAUCCUCUGUUGAGGUAUUUGAACAUCUCUGGAACAGAUAUAACUGAGCUUCCAAUACAAAUUGGAGAUUUGGGGUUCCUAGAAACACUUGAUGCAUCAUUUACGGAAUUUGUUGAGAUGCCUGGAUCCAUUACUCGUCUAAGAAGACUGAAGCGCCUGUUUGUUUCAGAUGAAACUAAAUUGCCUGAUGAGAUUGGAAACAUGUGCUUGCAAGAGCUUGGGGAUAUAAAUGCCUUCAACCAAUCAGUUAACUUUCUGAAUGAGCUUGGCAAACUAAUGGAUCUGCGUAAGCUGAGCAUUAUCUGGGACACCAACGGUAUUCCCAGAUUUGGCAAAAGAAGUUAUAAGGAAAAAAAGUUUGUCUCCUCGCUCUGUAAACUGGAUCAGAUGGGCCUUCGCACCCUCUGUGUUACAUUUUAUUUGAGAGAAAAGGAUGGCUUCAUUGGACAUCCGUUCUUGCCUGCUCUCAAUAGUAUCCGAGAGGUCUAUCUCCGCCGUGGGCGCAUGUGUUGGAUUAACAAAUGGCUGCUUUCACUUGCCAACCUAGAAAAUUUAUAUAUCAGUGGUGGGGAUGAGAUAGAGCAGGAUGAUCUGCGUACAGUUGGAAGCAUACCAACUCUGGUUGAAUUCAAGCUUUACUCUGGAUGCUUAGGGCCUAUCAUCAUAAGUUCAGGAUUUGAACAGUUAGAGAGGCUCGAGUUGAAGUUCAGUUUUUCGCAGCUGACGUUUGAAGUGGGCGCUAUGCCUAACCUGAAGAAACUUGAUCUCCAUGUUUAUUUAUCUAAGUUCAAAUCUGUUGGUGCUGGUUUUGAUUUUGGCAUCCAGCAUCUCUCCAGCCUUGCUUCGGUUUCUAUCGUCAUAUUUUGCGAGGGCGUCAGUGCUGCCUAUGUGGAGGCAGCGGAGGGAGCUUUCAAGAGCAUGGUCAAUGGACACCCGAACCCCAACCGACCCAUAUUGGAAAUGACUAGAGAAUCUGCGGACUUCAUGUCACAGGAUGAGUGA
rnacentral:rRNA from 1 species